ACCAGCGACCAUACCACGUUGAAUAUAUCGGUUCUCGUUCUAUUACCAAAAUUAAGCAACUUCGGGCACAGUUGAUACUUAGAGGGGGGACCACUUGCGAACACUACGUGUUGGUGGCA
rnacentral:rRNA from 1 species